rnacentral:rRNA from 1 species
AAAAUCUAGCAUAUCAAUAAGCGGAGGAAAAGAAACUAACAAGGAUUCCCCUAGUAACUGCGAGUGAAGCGGGAAAAGCUCAAAUUUAAAAUCUGGCAGUCUUUGGCUGUCCGAGUUGUAUUCUAGAGAAGCGCUUUCCGUGCCGGACCGUGUACAAGUCUCUUGGAACAGAGCGUCAUAGAGGGUGAGAAUCCCGUCUUUGACACGGACUACCGGUGCUUUGUGAUGCGUUUUCAAAGAGUCGAGUUGUUUGGGAAUGCAGCUCAAAAUGGGUGGUAAAUUCCAUCUAAAGCUAAAUAUUGGCGAGAGACCGAUAGCGAACAAGUACCGUGAGGGAAAGAUGAAAAGCACUUUGGAAAGAGAGUUAAACAGUACGUGAAAUUGCUGAAAGGGAAACGCUUGAAGUCAGUCGCGUCGUUCAGAACUCAGCCUGGCUUUUGCUUGGUGCACUUUCUGAAUGACGGGCCAGCAUCAAUUUUGACUGUUGGAUAAAGGCCAGAGAAAUGUGGCUCCUUUGGGAGUGUUAUAGUCUCCGGUUGCAUACAAUGGUUAGGAUUGAGGAACUCAGCAUGCCUUUAUGGUCGGGGUUCRCCCACGUUCAUGCUUAGGAUGCUGGCGUAAUGGCUUUAAACGACCCGUCUUGAAACACGGACCAAGGAGUCUAACAUGCCUGCGAGUGUUUGGGUGGAAAACCCGAGCGCGCAAUGAAAGUGAAAGUUGGGAUCCCUGUCGUGGGGAGCACUGACGCCCGGACCAGACCUUCUGUGACGGAUCCGCGGUAGAGCAUGUAUGUUGGGACCCGAAAGAUGGUGAACUAUGCCUGAAUAGGGUGAAGCCAGAGGAAACUCUGGUGGAGGCUCGUAGCGAUUCUGACGUGCAAAUCGAUCGUCAAAUUUGGGUAUAGGGGCGAAAGACUAAUCGAACCUCUUUGCCC